UAGCAGCCUUCUGGGCAAGAUAAGCUCCUGCCUGCUUAUCUUGUCCCAUAUGAGACAGAGCAUACACCAGUACUGCAUGAGACUUAAUAAAUUGGACCAUGAUGGCCUUGAAUGAGAAAGCAUAUAUCACUUAAAUAAUAAUGCAACUUUGUCUGAGAGAAAACUUACCAGCAGAGAGCCUACUCACUCGCAGCUUCAACUGACUACUCAGACAUCACAGAUUGCGAUAUUUGAGGAGAAAUUGACUUGAAAUGGAAUCAACUGUUGGCAUUACAUGUGGGCAAUUGAUUGAGCAAAAAGUAUAUUUACAUUGAGACUGCUGCAAUAUGUCAUUUUCUCUGAACCAAGAAUCCAAUGGAAGCUGACUAUGGGAGUUCGGUACCUGUGUUUUCCGACAACACUGUAAGUUAAUUACUUACAAGGAACUUUGGGCUGACUGGAGGUUAUGAAAACACAACACAAAACGCAACUUAUUUCUUUUUGCCUUGAUGAGCUCAACAAGAACCGCCAAGGAGAAAAAUAUAUUUCUAGAAAUAUGAUGUGAUAACAGAAUGAUGAACUAUUCCAGCAAAGAAAACCAUAAGCUAAUAUGAGCUGAGAGCAGGAUGUGAUCUGUGAGUAUUGUCUGCCAUGCACAAAGCUUUCAAUUUUGUUCAAAUAUAUUCUGCGUUUUCACAACUAAAUGCAUUUAUAGAAGUAUGCAUCAUAUUUACUUUGUAAUGAAGUUCAUUUGACCUGAAAGCUGCACUCUUUGACAAGAUAAUGCACUUUAGCCUGGUUAGAACAUUCUUAAAAGUAACCAUCCGAGAAGAAAUAAAACAGAAAAAUUAAGUUUGCCGCAUUCCCUUUUAUCAAUGUUCCCAAACUCAAAGUGCUCACCAUAUGUCACAGGCUUGAAGUCUGUGAAACCAUUUUAUUCAAAGAAAAUCCAUUUCUUAUAAGUUGCCUUUCAUGGAACAAGAUUUUGAAAAUAAAUUUAAAAUGCAUUUUUGUUUCAACA